CAAAGUCUGUGCACACCACAUUUCUCUUUUUUUUUUUUGAGGCGGAGUCUCGCUCUGUCGCUCAGGCUGGAGUGCGGUGGCGCCAUCUUGGCUCACUGCAAGCUCCGCCCCCCGGGUUCCCGCCAUUCUCCUGCCUCAGCCUCCCGGGUAGCUGAGACUACGGGCGCCCGCCACCUCGCCCAGCUAAAUAUUAUGUAUUUUUAGUAGAGACGGGGUUUCACCGUGUUAGCCAGGAUGGUCUCCAUCUCUUGACCUCGUGAUCCGCCCACCUCGGCCUCUCAAAGUGCUGGGAUUACAGGCGUGAGCCACCGCGCCCGGCCACACACCACAUUUCUCUUAAAGUCUAAGCCCUGGGAGCUUGUCAUAAAUUCUCUGCAGAGAGAACUGUGGACAUGUAAAAGCAAGCCCAGCUCUUCUGGACCUACAGGACUCACAAUCUUCCAAGGCUGGCCAUCCAGCUGCCACUUGUGGGGAGAGCCUCCUUCCUCAGGGGCAGAAGCAGAGCAGAAUCAGCAGCCGCGGAGCAGAGGCCAAGCCUGGCUGGAGGCUGGUGGCAAACAGUAGGUGUCACAAUAGCAAAACAGCAUUUUCAGAGGAAGUGGAAGCAGCAGCAGUGGGAUGGGGGAAUGAGUCAGCUUUGUGGGCAUGGCCUUGCUGGGUCAGCUGGC
rnacentral:lncRNA from 10 species